rnacentral:rRNA from 1 species
UACGUAGGGUCCGAGCGUUGUCCGGAAUUACUGGGCGUAAAGAGCUCGUAGGUGGUUUGUCGCGUUGUCCGUGAAAACUCACAGCUCAACUGUGGGCGUGCGAGCGAUACGGGCAGACUGGAGUACUGCAGGGGAGACUGGAAUUCCUGGUGUAGCGGUGGAAUGCGCAGAUAUCAGGAGGAACACCGGUGGCGAAGGCGGGUCUCUGGGCAGUAACUGACGCUGAGGAGCGAAAGCGUGGGGAGCGAACAGG